rnacentral:rRNA from 1 species
GACGAACGCUGGCGGCGUGCUUAACACAUGCAAGUCGAACGGAAAAGCCCUGCUUUUGUGGGGUUCUCGAGAGGCGAACGGGUGAGUAACACGUGAGUAACCUGCCCUUGACUUUGGGAUAACUUCAGGAAACUGGGGCUAAUACCGGAUAGGAGCUCCUGCUGCAUGGUGGGGGUUGGAAAGUUUCGGCGGUUGGGGAUGGACUCGCGGCUUAUCAGCUUGUUGGUGGGGUAGUGGCUUACCAAGGCUUUGACGGGUAGCCGGCCUGAGAGGGUUACCGGCCACAUUGGGACUGAGAUACGCACCAGUAUCCUACGGGAGGCAGUAGUGGGGAAUAUUGCACAAUGGGCGGAAGCGUGAUGCAGCAACGCCGCGUGCGGGAUGACGGCCUUCGGGGUGUAAACCGCUUUCGCCUGUGACGAAGCGUGAGUGACGGUAAUUGGUAAAGAAGCACCGGCUAACUACGUG